rnacentral:rRNA from 1 species
CAAAGCGGGUGUACUUCUCUGACAAUGUCUAGUCUCAUCUGAUCUCUGAAGCUAAGCAGGGUUGAGCGUGGUUAGUGUUUGGAUGGGAGACCUUUGGAAAUGCCAGGUUGCGUAGU